UCGAGAAUCUUCGGCAAUGGGCGAAAGCCUGACCGAGCGAUGCCGCGUGCGGGAUGAAGGCCUUCGGGUUGUAAACCGCUGUCGUAGGGGAGAAAGGGUCGUUGAAGAAACGACUUUGAUCUAUCCUAGGAGGAAGUCCGGGCUAACUCUGUGCCAGCAGCCGCGGUAAUACGAAGGGACCAAGCGUUGUUCGGAUUUACUGGGCGUAAAGGGCGCGUAGGCGGCGUGGUAAGUCACUUGUGAAAUCUCCGAGCUUAACUCGGAACGGUCAAGUGAUACUGCUGUGCUAGAGUACAGAAGGGGCAAUCGGAAUUCUUGGUGUAGCGGUGAAAUGCGUAGAUAUCAAGAGGAACACCUGAGGUGAAGACGGGUUGCUGGGCUGAUACUGACGCUGAGGCGCGAAAGCCAGGGGAGCAAA
rnacentral:rRNA from 1 species